rnacentral:tRNA from 1 species
CAGGAAAUAGUUUAAUGAAAAUGCCAGCUUUGGGAGUUGGUGAUGAAGGUUUAAUUCCUUUUUUUCUGA